rnacentral:rRNA from 1 species
UUUGAUCCUGGCUCAGAGCGAACGUUGGCGGUGUGGAUUAGGCAUGCAAGUCGCGCGUGAAAGCCUUCGGGCGAGUAAAGCGGCGAACGGGUGAGUAACACGUAAUCAACCUACCCCUAAGAUCGGAAUAACCUCUGGAAACGGAGGGUAAUGCCGAAUGGUCCCACGAGGAGGCAUCUCCAUGUGGGUAAACGGUCAGCUGCUUAGGGAGGGGAUUGCGGGCUAUUAGCUAGUUGGUGGGGUAAAGGCCUACCAAGGCGACGAUCCAUAGCUGGUCUGAGAGGACGAUCA